UACGAAGGGGGCUAGCGUUGCUCGGAAUCACUGGGCGUAAAGCGCACGUAGGCGGCUUCUUAAGUCAGGGGUGAAAUCCUGGAGCUCAACUCUGGAACUGCCUUCGAAACUAGAGGACUUGGGUACGGGAGAGGUGAGUGGAAUUCCGAGUGUAGAGGUGAAAUUCGUAGAUAUUCGGAAGAACACCAGUGGCGAAGGCGGCUCACUGGCCCGUUACCGACGCUCAGGCGCGACAGCGUGGGGAGCAAACAGG
rnacentral:rRNA from 1 species